rnacentral:rRNA from 1 species
UGGGGAAUUUUGGACAAUGGGCGAAAGCCUGAUCCAGCAAUGCCGCGUGUGUGAAGAAGGCCUUCGGGUUGUAAAGCACUUUUGUCCGGAAAGAAAUCCUUGGCUCUAAUACAGCCGGGGGAUGACGGUACCGGAAGAAUAAGCACCGGCUAACUACGUGCCAGCAGCCGCGGUAAUACGUAGGGUGCAAGCGUUAAUCGGAAUUACUGGGCGUAAAGCGUGCGCAGGCGGUUUGCUAAGACCGAUGUGAAGUCCCCGGGCUCAACCUGGGAACUGCAUUGGUGACUGGCAGGCUAGAGUAUGGCAGAGGGGGGUAGAAUUCCACGUGUAGCAGUGAAAUGCGUAGAGAUGUGGAGGAAUACCGAUGGCGAAGGCAGCCCCCUGGGCCAAUACUGACGCUCAUGCACGAAAGCGUGGGGAGCAAACAGGAUUAGAUACCCUGGUAGUCCACGCCCUAAACGAUGUCAACUAGUUGUUGGGGGUUCAUUUCCUUAGUAACGUAGCUAACGCGUGAAGUUGACCGCCUGGGGAGUACGGUCGCAAGAUUAAAACUCAAAUGAAUUGACGGGGUCAUAGCU